rnacentral:rRNA from 1 species
GAUGUAUGAGUUAGUGGCGGACGGGUGAGUAACGCGUGGAGAACCUGCCGUAUACUGGGGGAUAACACUUAGAAAUAGGUGCUAAUACCGCAUAAGCGCACAGCUUCGCAUGAAGCAGUGUGAAAAACUCCGGUGGUAUACGAUGGAUCCGCGUCUGAUUAGCUUGUUGGCGGGGUAAAGGCCCACCAAGGCGACGAUCAGUAGCCGGCCUGAGAGGGUGAACGGCCACAUUGGGACUGAGACACGGCCCAAACUCCUACGGGAGGCAGCAGUGGGGAAUAUUGCACAAUGGGGGAAACCCUGAUGCAGCGACGCCGCGUGAGUGAAGAAGUAUUUCGGUAUGUAAAGCUCUAUCAGCAGGGAAGAAAAUGACGGUACCUGACUAAGAAGCCCCGGCUAACUACGUGCCAGCAGCCGCGGUAAUACGUAGGGGGCAAGCGUUAUCCGGAUUUACUGGGUGUAAAGGGAGCGUAGACGGCAGCGCAAGUCUGGAGUGAAAUCCCAUGGCUUAACCAUGGAACUGCUUUGGAAACUGUGCAGCUAGAGUGCAGGAGAGGUAAGCGGAAUUCCUAGUGUAGCGGUGAAAUGCGUAGAUACUAGGAGGAACACCAGUGGCGAAGGCGGCUUACUGGACUGUAACUGACGUUGAGGCUCGAAAGCGUGGGGAGCAAACAGGAUUAGAUACCCUGGUAGUCCACGCUGUAAACGAUGAUUACUAGGUGUUGGGGGACCAAGGUCCUUCGGUGCCGGCGCAAACGCAUUAAGUAAUCCACCUGGGGAGUACGUUCGCAAGA